UACGAACCGUGCGAACGUUGUUCGGAAUCACUGGGCUUAAAGGGCGCGUAGGCGGCUUGCCAAGUCGGUGGUGAAAUCCUGCAGCUUAACUGUAGAAGUGCCUCCGAUACUGGCGAGCUCGAGGGAGGUAGGGGUCUGUGGAACUUCUGGUGGAGCGGUGAAAUGCGUUGAUAUCAGAAGGAACGCCGGUGGCGAAAGCGACGGACUGGUCCUCAUCUGACGCUGAGGCGCGAAAGCUAGGGGAGCAAACGGG
rnacentral:rRNA from 1 species